rnacentral:rRNA from 1 species
GUAACGGCGAGUGAAGCGGCAAGAGCUCAAAUUUGAAAUCUGGCCCCUCCGGGGUCCGAGUUGUAAUUUGCAGAGGAUGCUUCGGGUGCGGCCCCUGUCUAAGUGCCCUGGAACGGGCCGUCAGAGAGGGUGAGAAUCCCGUCUUGGGCAGGGUGCCCGUGCCCGUGUGAAGCUCCUUCGACGAGUCGAGUUGUUUGGGAAUGCAGCUCAAAAUGGGUGGUAAAUUUCAUCUAAAGCUAAAUACCGGCCGGAGACCGAUAGCGCACAAGUAGAGUGAUCGAAAGAUGAAAAGCACUUUGAAAAGAGAGUUAAACAGCACGUGAAAUUGUUGAAAGGGAAGCGCUUGCAACCAGACUCGGCCUCGGGGUUCAGCCAGCAUUCGUGCUGGUGUACUUCCCCGGGGCCGGGCCAGCGUCGGUUUGGGCGGCCGGUCAAAGGCCCCAGGAAUGUAUCGUCCUCCGGGACGUCUUAUAGCCUGGGGUGCAAUGCGGCCAGCCUGGACCGAGGAACGCGCUUCGGCACGGACGCUGGCGUAAUGGUCGCAAACGAC